rnacentral:snRNA from 1 species
GUGCUUGCAUCGGCAGCACAGAUAUUGAAAUUGGAGCGAACAUUAGCACGGCCUUUGCACAAGGAUGACACGCAAAUGUGUGAAGCAUUCCAUAUUAAA